rnacentral:lncRNA from 1 species
AAAACUGAAUAUCUGCAGAUAUAACCUUAAAACUGAAUUACUGAAUGUAAUGGACAAUACAUAAUUGUAUAAUACAAACUCCCACUAAAAUUCAUAAUCAUUAACCGAUUUGACACCCAUGCAAGCAAUAUGCUGAUGAAAUACUUUGGGUGGCAAUCCCUUAGUGAGCGGAUCCGUAAUCAUGGAGUUUGUACUGAUGUGCUCUAUGCACAAUUGUCCAUUCUGUACUCUUUCU